GGCUUGAGACAAAAACGCCUUUCGUUUUGUAAACAAAUUGGAAACAAUUUAAUUCCAACUUGUUUAUUUUUGUUAAUUGUCAUUGUUUUGGUUUUGUUUCUUUUUCUAUUUUAAUUAAGUUACAAUCGUCAUUAAAUAUGAAGAAAAAGGUACUUCUUAUGGGUAAAAGUGGAGCUGGAAAAACCUCCAUGAGAUCAAUCAUAUUUGCUAAUUAUAUUGCUCGUGAUACAAGACGAUUAGGUGCUACAAUCGACGUGGAACAUAGUCAUGUCCGUUUUCUUGGUAAUCUUGUACUUAACCUCUGGGACUGUGGUGGUCAAGAGGCCUUUAUGGAAAGUUAUUUCGCCUCACAGAGAGACAAUAUUUUUCGAAAUGUUGAACUUUUGAUUUACGUUUUUGAUGUUGAGUCAAGAGAAUUGGAAAGAGACAUUCACUAUUUCCAAUCUUGCUUGGAAGCCAUUCUACAAAAUUCUCCAGAAGCUAAAGUUUUCUGUCUAAUACAUAAAAUGGAUCUCAUACCCGAAGAGAAAAGAGAUUUGAUAUUUCUAGAUAGAGAAUCAGAAUUGAAGAAACUAUCCCAGCCCAUUGAAAGUAGAUGCUUUCGAACCUCCAUUUGGGAUGAAACUCUGUACAAAGCUUGGUCGGAAAUCGUUUAUACCUUAAUUCCAAAUGUUCAAGAAUUAGAGAGACAUUUGAAACAUUUUGCAGAGAUAAUUGAAGCAGAUGAAGUUCUACUUUUUGAAAGAGCCACUUUUCUCGUUAUUUCUCAUUGUCAAAGGAAAACUCAUCGUGAUCAUCAUAGAUUUGAAAAAGUUUCCAACAUAAUCAAACAAUUUAAACUUAGUUGCAGUAAAUUAGCAGCCCAAUUUCAAAGUAUGACGGUAAAGAAUUCCAAUUUUGCCGCUUUCAUCGACAUAUUUACACCAAAUACUUACGUAAUGGUUGUCAUGUCCGAUCCAACGAUACCUUCAGCAGCCACAUUGGUGAACAUUAAAAAUGCUCGUAAACAUUUUGAAAAAUUGGAAGGAGUUAAAAAUCGUUGAAUUAAUUGUUUCAUUGACAAUUUAUAAGAACAGUUGAUUGAACACAACAUCAAACGUUAACUUUCAACUUUAAUUGUUACAUUUUGUUGUUAAUCGUUUAAUGAUUAGUUCAUUUUGAUUGUUAGUUUAUUUUUUUGCUUAAUUUUGAAAACUCUGGUUUGUUAAUUGUUGUCACUGCGAUGAUUAUAAUUUUAUUUAGCUCUUAUAAACAAUUUAAUCCCUUGGUAUUAAAGUUGAUUAAUUUUGAUGAUUUGAAUCAUAAUUAAAUCUAAAUAACUGCAAAAAAUCAAUAAUAAUCAACUUCUUAAACACUGGAAACCAAAUUAGCUCAACAAUUAAAUAACUGAUGAUAUUAAGACAAAUGUAACAAUCAAUUUCUAAGACAAUCAAAUGAAUGGUCAAUUAUUAAACUAAUUGAAAUUACCGAUAAAAUUGUUUUUUAAUAUUCAUUUAAUUUACUAAUUGUUAAUUGAAAUGGUUUUGCAAUAAACUAAAUUUGAUUAUUGAAUUUAAUGGUUAUUAAUGGGAAAGAAAAUAAAAAUUAUUAUGGUUAACGGA